GUCGCAACUCUACCAAUGGCCGGUCCCAAGUCCGGAUGAAAAAAGAGGAGGGAGGC
rnacentral:ribozyme from 2 species